UACGGAGGAUGCGAGCGUUAUCCGGAUUUAUUGGGUUUAAAGGGUGCGUAGGCGGCGCCUCAAGUCAGCGGUCAAACCGGGGGGCUCAACCUUCCGCCGCCGUUGAAACUGGGGCGCUUGAGUGGGCGAGAAGUGCGCGGAAUGCGUGGUGUAGCGGUGAAAUGCAUAGAUAUCACGCAGAACUCCGAUUGCGAAGGCAGCGCACCGGCGCCCAACUGACGCUGAAGCACGAAAGCGUGGGUAUCGAACAGG
rnacentral:rRNA from 2 species